AACGAACGCUGGCGGCAGGCUUAACACAUGCAAGUCGAGCGCCCCGCAAGGGGAGCGGCAGACGGGUGAGUAACGCGUGGGAACGUACCUUUUGGUUCGGAACAACUCCGGGAAACUGGAGCUAAUACCGGAUAAGCCCUAACGGGGAAAGAUUUAUCGCCGAAAGAUCGGCUCGCGUCUGAUUAGCUAGUUGGUGAGGUAACGGCUCACCAAGGCGACGAUCAGUAGCUGGUCUGAGAGGAUGAUCAGCCACACUGGGACUGAGACACGGCCCAGACUCCUACGGGAGGCAGCAGUGGGGAAUAUUGGACAAUGGGCGCAAGCCUGAUCCAGCCAUGCCGCGUGAGUGAUGAAGGCCUUAGGGUUGUAAAGCUCUUUUGUCCGGGAAGAUAAUGACUGUACCGGAAGAAUAAGCCCCGGCUAACUUCGUG
rnacentral:rRNA from 1 species